rnacentral:lncRNA from 12 species
AUGAGCAUUUCAGUACUAAAGAGGGCACCUUCUGGAAGCACUUCCCGACCUAUUCAUGAGAAUACUUAUAUGGCAUUCUGGGGCAACAGUCGAAUGCUUUGCAGCUUGCCUCCUGGAGUGUAUUGCCAAAUAGCACAGCACCUCCUCAUCUGCAUUCAGCCUACAGUGCACACAGCAGCACAUGACAGGCAUCACUUACAUUGCCAGUGGCCGGAAGGAUACACUUCUAGAAGUCUAAUUCCAACACUGGAGGAUCUGUGCAUGUUUUCUGUAGAUGGAUUCCCUUCCGGCACCCGUACCACUUCAUUCAUCUGCUCACCGCAGUAA